CCCUUAGAUGUUCUGGGCCGCACGCGCGCUACACUGACGAAUGCAACGAGCUUAUAACCUUGGCCGAAAGGUCUGGGUAAUCUCCAAAUUUCGUCGUGAUGGGGAUAGAUUAUUGCAAUUAUUAAUCUUCAACGAGGAAUGCCUAGUAAGCGCAAGUCAUCAGCUUGCGUUGAUUACGUCCCUGCCCUUUGAACACACCGCCCGUCGCUCCUACCGAUUGAAUGGUCCGGUGAAGCGUUCGGACCGUGGCCUUUGGACGGUUCGCCGUCUGUUGGCUGCGGGAAGUUCGUUAAACCUUAUCAUUUAGAGGAAGGAGAAGUCGUANCA
rnacentral:rRNA from 1 species